CUCGCGCUCAGGACGGAUUUAGAUCACUAUUUAUAACCCCCAGCGCGGGUUUUUCCACCUUCUCCUCAUUUCAAAUCGCUCGACAGUUCGAACGGAACCUUUUUCUCUUUCUUGGUCGCGGUCCCUGUCACGCUGAACGCGCUGAACACGAGCUGCUCACCACAUUUGUGAUUUCUUCAUGACUCGAAGCUGCCCACUCUGCAGCUGAACCACAGGGAGACGGUGGAAGCGGCCGCCGUCGGAGUCCACGAGUCACAGGUGCUCGGAGCUUUCGCUGCCCUCCUCCAGACAUUACCCCCCCACCCCCCGAAGAAGUCUACUCUAGGUUAGUCUGAAAUGUGGGUUUUAUUCUUAAAUGGCCCCACUGCAUGUGUAGGUGUGCGCACACAUGCACACAAUUGAUGCGUAGGGGUGUGGAGUGGUCAACUGAUGAGGCACUGUGGAGGAUGAGAGCUUUGGAGAGUGGUGUGUGGGUUGGAAGCCUCCUCUCCUCGCGGUAAAACACACACACACACACACACACACACACACGCACAUACAAAGCUGGGGGAGGUGGAGGCAGCAGAGCUCGCUUCACCGGCUGUCCAUUGAUCAGUGGAGAGGUUGGUAGACUUAAAAGAUCAGUGUGGAGACUGGUGGAGAGCAGAGAGAGGGUUGGAGAGGAGGAUACUGGGGGUUCUGUAGGAUAUGGCAAACACAGGCAGCCAGGGAUAAGAAGAGGGGAGGUUAGAGAGAGAGAGGGAGAGCUAGAGAGAGAGAGAAAGUGUGUGAUGAGAUAGAGAUUAGAGCAAUGGAGAGAUAAGGAGGCAAAUCACAGCUGCUGGGUUUUACAGUCUGGAUGAAGCCUGCUGGACUGACGAGAUGUCGAAGCAGCAGAUCGGCGCCCUGGCGAAGGGGGUGGAAAACUUCUCGAGCGUCCAUCUGCUGCAGUCAAAAUGGACGCCGCAACAGCCCGCCUGAGGCGGCCAUCUUGGUUUCAGCCUACGAGCGGAGGAACGCUUCGGUGCCGGAAGGCAGAGAAGGAGCCCAAGAGGAAAAUGGCAGUUUUAGCUUGUUUGCACAAAUGCACUUGAACCAGUAA
rnacentral:lncRNA from 1 species